rnacentral:misc_RNA from 1 species
CCAGCGUGUGCAGUGCACC